rnacentral:rRNA from 1 species
UGCCAGCANHMGCGGUUACACCUGUGCUUAAAGUCUAGUUACUAGGUUAUAUGGUAGCACUACUACUGGGGAGCUAAACUGUCAGCUAACGGUACAAUGUUAACCUGGUCAGUUCCUCCUUCUCCCACAUAGUAUAGCCCAUGAAAGUCAACUGUAAGACUAGGAUUAGAAACCCUACUAUUGUUGACCGUAAAAAUAAUUACCGGGGUAUUACGAACCGUUUGUUUAAAACCUAAAAAACUUGGCGGCCUCUCAUUGCCCCAGGGGAGCUUGUCCUGUAAACGAUAGUCCGCGUUAACCCUCACCUUUACUAGAACUUCAGCUUGUAUACCCCCGUCGUCAGUUAACCUUAAUAAGAGAGUAGUAGUUAGCAAGGGAGGUCUCAACCUCCACGUCAGGUCAAGGUGCAGCUUAUGUAAAGGCAGAGAUGAGCUACAUUACCUAUUGGUGAAUGGAUACGAUAUUUAAAAACUUCGUUGAAAUAGUACUUGGAAGUAAAUAUAGUUUAAUACGCUAUUUUGAAUAAUACUUGAGAGGUGCACAAAUCGCCCGUCGAUCCUGCMGUGAGGUAGGAWAAGUCGUAACAHAGUA